UGCUGAAACUGAAGUGUUUAAUUCUCUUUUGACAACUUUUUUAAGAAGGCUGGGUCUCUGAGGGAGAGGUGAAGAUGAGAGUGGUUAAAUACAAGUUACUGUAGGAGGGAGGACAAUACCUUUUGGAGGUUCAGGAAGGACUCCCUGCUGAAGAUGGUAUCUAAGCUUCGUUUUAAAGGAAGAGGGUGAUUCUGUGAGGCAGAGGUCAUCCUAGCUAUGGAGAUGCCCAACAUCAGUAGGCUGAUUAUUGGGUGAUGAAUUCUUUGACCGUGACAGCCCAC